rnacentral:rRNA from 1 species
UGGGGAAUAUUGGACAAUGGGGGCAACCCUGAUCCAGCCAUGCCGCGUGAGUGAUGAAGGCCUUCGGGUUGUAAAGCUCUUUCGCACGCGACGAUGAUGACGGUAGCGUGAGAAGAAGCCCCGGCUAACUUCGUGCCAGCAGCCGCGGUAAUACGAAGGGGGCUAGCGUUGUUCGGAAUUACUGGGCGUAAAGGGCGCGUAGGCGGCGCAACAAGUCAGGCGUGAAAGCCCCGGGCUUAACCUGGGAAAUGCGCUUGAGACUGUUGUGCUUGAGUACCGGAGAGGUGGGUGGAAUUCCCAGUGUAGAGGUGAAAUUCGUAGAUAUUGGGAAGAACACCGGUGGCGAAGGCGGCCCACUGGACGGUUACUGACGCUGAGGCGCGAAAGCGUGGGGAGCAAACAGG